GGGGACGACCGGUAUUGACAGCUUGUGUAUUCUGAUAGUAAGCACGUCGGGAGUAGGGUAGACCUCCUGUUAAAAAUCAACUCAAACCAUAACUGGCAAUACUUCGUAUGCCAUGGCAGCUUAAUUCCUAAUUUAGGAUAAGUCAUAGGUCGCUUUCAACUAGGUUGAUGCUUCCUGCCACAUCCCUCCAUGCUAAACUCUGCCGUGUGGAAUUGGGGUGACGACAAGCAGAGUCGGGUUUUGCUGAUGUCUCUGAGUAAAAUCUAGUAUACCGAGCCUACGGAAUAUUUUUGGUCCGGCUUGAACCAAAGUAUUCCCGACAAUUAAUCAAGACUAAACGUGUAGAAAGCUAUGAGUUUCCUUGUCUGGACGAGAGUUCGAAUCUCUCCGUCUCCACUA
rnacentral:tmRNA from 1 species